UAUAACUAAAGUCAAAAGUUAACACUUUUUUUUGUAUAGUACAAUUAUUCUGUAAAGGGACAUUAUAGUCACCAGAACAAUUACAGCUUAAUGUAGUUGUUCUGGUGAGUAUAGACUAUCCCUGUAGGCAUUUUCAAAUACACACUACCUUUUCAGAGAAAAAGUGAUAACAUUGCCCCCUAGGGACACCUCCAGUGGCUACUCCUCAGAAUGCCACUGAAGGUGCUUCCUGGGGAAGUGCUGCACAGUGUGCAUCACUGCCAUUCAGUGUAUCCACCCUAUGCAUGAGGACACUAAACUUUACUCAGAGAGUUGCAUUGAUUCAAUGAAUCUCUAUGAGGAAGUGCUGAUUGGCCAAGCUGGGGUUUGGAAACUCCAGUCCCA